rnacentral:rRNA from 1 species
UACGUAGGGUCCGAGCGUUGUCCGGAAUUACUGGGCGUAAAGAGCUCGUAGGCGGCUUGUCGCGUCGUCCGUGAAAACCCACAGCUCAACUGUGGGCUUGCGGUCGAUACGGGCAGGCUAGAGUUCGGUAGGGGAGACUGGAAUUCCUGGUGUAGCGGUGAAAUGCGCAGAUAUCAGGAGGAACACCGGUGGCGAAGGCGGGUCUCUGGGCCGAUACUGACGCUGAGGAGCGAAAGCGUGGGGAGCGAACAGG